rnacentral:rRNA from 1 species
UCGAGAAUCUUCCGCAAUGGGCGAAAGCCUGACGGAGCGACGCCGCGUGGAGGACGAAGGCCUUCGGGUUGUAAACUCCUGUCACGGAUUAAGAAUGUCGUGCGGUGAAUAGUCGUACGAUUGACGUAAGUCCGAGAGGAAGCACUGGCUAACUCUGUGCCAGCAGCCGCGGUAAUACAGAGAGUGCAAACGUUGUUCGGAAUUACUGGGCUUAAAGCGCACGUAGGCGGCGCCGCAAGUGUGGGGUGAAAGCCCACGGCUUACCCGUGGAAUUGCCUGGCAGACUGCGGUGCUAGAGUGUGGUAGGGGAGAGCGGAACUCCUGGUGGAGCGGUGAAAUGCGUAGAUAUCAGGAGGAACACCGGUGGCGAAGGCGGCUCUCUGGUCCACAACUGACGCUGAGGUGCGAAAGCUAGGGGAGCAAACGGGAUUAGAUACCCCUGUAGUCCCUGAGCGGGCUGGCAAGGCGCAU